rnacentral:rRNA from 1 species
UACGGAGGAUGCGAGCGUUAUCCGGAUUUAUUGGGUUUAAAGGGUGCGUAGGCGGACGCUUAAGUCAGCGGUAAAAUUGCGGGGCUCAACCUCGUCGAGCCGUUGAAACUGGGUGCCUUGAGUGGGCGAGAAGUACGCGGAAUGCGUGGUGUAGCGGUGAAAUGCAUAGAUAUCACGCGGAACUCCGAUUGCGAAGGCAGCGUACCGGCGCCCUACUGACGCUGAAGCACGAAGGCGUGGGUAUCGAACAGG